rnacentral:lncRNA from 1 species
UUUUCCCCCUGCUGUUUGAUGCAGAUGCAAGUGUGACAGGGUUGUACCUUUGUUGCGAUGGAAAAGAUAGAGUGUGCUUGCACACCAGCUAUUGCUACUCUGCUGUGCAGGCUGGUUUAUCAAUGUAUGCAAGGCAAAUUUGAGUGUAGGUAGACUGCUUGGCAUUAGGUCUUGCUGACUUGGCCUUCGACACACUUGUGGUUUUGACUCAAGACUUGUUAGAAACAUGUCGAUUCAAGAGCUAUUGGCAACAUGUUAGUUGAGACUUGACAAAUGCAGCAGGACAAAGUAAGAAACUCCAAAGUUCAAGACAUGACCAAGUUAGCAUUAAAGUGAAGAAAACAAAUUGACAUGGAAAAAAAAACCAAGUCAACAUGGGCACGGAGCAUGGAAUAAGGGUUAGGGUCAGUCCUUUGGUGAUUAGGGAUGAACAAGGACCUAGGGUUGACUUUGGUCAACGUUGACC